UUCUAGGAUGAUAACUGCUACAUAGGAAGUGCCGUCUGAUGCGAUAACUGACGAUGGCUAAAAGCUAUUCUGAGA